rnacentral:pre_miRNA from 1 species
UCUUCAUUUCACGUGCUCUCUCACCGGUCAGAGAGACGCGAGAGAGUGUGUGAACUGAAGAGA